rnacentral:rRNA from 6 species
AAAUUGAAGAGUUUGAUCAUGGCUCAGAUUGAACGCUGGCGGCAGGCCUAACACAUGCAAGUCGAACGGUAACAGGAAGCAGCUUGCUGCUUUGCUGACGAGUGGCGGACGGGUGAGUAAUGUCUGGGAAACUGCCUGAUGGAGGGGGAUAACUACUGGAAACGGUGGCUAAUACCGCAUAACGU